GAACUGCGAUAAGCAGUGUGAAUUGCAGAAUUCAGUGAAUCAUCGAGUCUUUGAACGCACAUUGUGCCCCCUGGCAUUCCGAUGUGCAUGCCUGUCCGAGCGUCAUUGCUACCCUCAAGCACGGCUUGUGUGUUGGGCCGCCGUCCGUCCCGCUCCGCGGGGGGGACGCGCCCGAAAGGCAGCGCCUGCACCGCGUCCGGUCCUCGAGCGUAUGAGGCUUCGUCACCCGCUCCGUGGGACCGGCCGGCGCCAGGCUUCGUCAACCACUUCGUUUCUCGGUUGACCUCGGAUCAGGUAGGGAUACCCGCUGAACUUAA
rnacentral:misc_RNA from 1 species